UUACGGUCACAUCACUUUGAAACACUUCUUCCCGUGCGAUCAUCGUAGUUAAACAACGUCGAUCCUAGUCAGCACUUAGAUGAGUGACAGCUUGGGAAUACCAAGUGCUGUAG